rnacentral:rRNA from 1 species
AUCCUGGCUCAGGAUGAACGCUAGCUACAGGCUUAACACAUGCAAGUCGAGGGGCAGCAUUAGGUAGCAAUACUGAGAUGGCGACCGGCGCACGGGUGCGUAACGCGUAUCCAACCUUCCCGUUACUCUCGGAUAGCCUUCCGAAAGGGAGAUUAAUACGAGAUGGUGUUUGAAUUCCGCAUGUUAUUCAAACUAAAGAUUUAUCGGUAACGGAUGGGGAUGCGUGACAUUAGCUAGAUGGCGGGGUAACGGCCCACCAUGGCUACGAUGUCUAGGGGUUCUGAGAGGAAGGUCCCCCACACUGGAACUGAGACACGGUCCAGACUCCUACGGGAGGCAGCAGUGAGGAAUAUUGGUCAAUGGUCUGACGACUGAACCAGCCAUGCCGCGUGAAGGUCACGGCCCUAUGGGUCUUAAACUUCUUUUGUAAGGGAGCAAUAAGUCUCACGUGUGGGAUGAUGAGAGUACCUUACGAAUAAGCAUCGGCUAACUCCGUG